rnacentral:rRNA from 1 species
UACGAAGGGGGCUAGCGUUGCUCGGAAUCACUGGGCGUAAAGGGUGCGUAGGCGGGUCUUUAAGUCAGGGGUGAAAUCCUGGAGCUCAACUCCAGAACUGCCCUUGAUACUGAAGAUCUUGAGUUCGGGAGAGGUGAGUGGAACUGCGAGUGUAGAGGUGAAAUUCGUAGAUAUUCGCAAGAACACCAGUGGCGAAGGCGGCUCACUGGUCCGGUUCUGACGCUGAGGCGCGAAAGCGUGGGGAGCAAACAGG